UGACCUGCGGAAGGAUCAUUAUUGAAUUUUGAAAAGAGGUUGUAGCUGAUCAUAAUAGAUAUGUGCACGCCUCGUUCCAAAUAUUACACCAUGUGCACUUUUGUAGGCCAAGAAAUUGGUCUAUGUUCUUAAUACACUCCAAAAGUAUAGAAUGUUAUUAUAAAUAAGCUUUUGCUUAAAUUAAUACAACUUUCAACAACGGAUCUCUUGGCUCUCGCAUCGAUGAAGAACGCAGCGAAAUGCGAUAAGUAAUGUGAAUUGCAGAAUUCAGUGAAUCAUCGAAUCUUUGAACGCACCUUGCGCUCCUUGGUAUUCCGAGGAGCAUGCCUGUUUGAGUGUCAUUAAAUUAUCAAUCCUCUUCAAGUUGAGAGGCUUUGGACUUUGGAGUUGCUGGCUUGAAAAAAAGUUUGCUUCUCUUAAAUGUAUUAGCUUGUAUCUUUUGCAGAUAAGCUUUAGUUUGAUAAAAAUAUCUACUAUUUAGCUGUGAAGCAAAUACGAGCUUCCAAUUUGUUCUUUGGACACUUUGACUUUUGACCUCGAAUCGGGUAGGACUACCCGCUGAU
rnacentral:rRNA from 1 species